GACGAACGCUGGCGGCGUGCUUAACACAUGCAAGUCGAACGGAAAGGCCCUGCUUUUGUGGGGUGCUCGAGUGGCGAACGGGUGAGUAACACGUGAGUAACCUGCCCUUGACUUUGGGAUAACUUCAGGACACUGGGGCUAAUACCGGAUAGGAGCUCCUGCUGCAUGGUGGGGGAUGGAAAGUUUCGGCGGUUGGGGAUGGACUCGCGGCUUAUCAGCUUGUUGGUGGGGUAGUGGCUUACCAAGGCUUUGACGGGUAGCCGGCCUGAGAGGGUGACCGGCCACAUUGGGACUGAGAUACGGCCCAGACUCCUACGGGAGGCAGCAGGGGGGAAUAUUGCACAAUGGGCGGAAGCCUGAUGAAGCAACGCCGCGUGCGGGAUGACGGCCUUCGGGUUGUAAACCGCUUUCGCCGGUGACGAAGCGUGAGUGACGGUAAUGGGUAAAGAAGCACCGGCUAACUACGUG
rnacentral:rRNA from 1 species